GUUUUAAUGAUGAUAUCCCAUGCGUGUCAUCUGACGCCCUCAUAUCUCUCUGCAUUGGAUCUCCAGUCUGCGUCUUGCAGGCCGGAACAAUCUGGUGCAGGGAAUUGUGGGGUAUGAUCACACCACACUAUCUGAAAACC